UCGUUGUAGACUACGACGUUGAUAGGAUGCAGGUGUAAAGAUGGAGACAUCAAAGCCGAGCAUUACUAAUUGCCCGUUCACUUUCCUUAU
rnacentral:rRNA from 1 species